UACGAGGGGUGCAAGCGUUACUCGGAAUUACUGGGCGUAAAGCGUGCGUAGGUGGUUGUUUAAGUCUGUUGUGAAAGCCCUGGGCUCAACCUGGGAAUUGCAGUGGAUACUGGGCGACUAGAGUGUGGUAGAGGGUAGUGGAAUUCCCGGUGUAGCAGUGAAAUGCGUAGAGAUCGGGAGGAACAUCCAUGGCGAAGGCAGCUACCUGGACCAACACUGACACUGAGGCACGAAAGCGUGGGGAGCAAACAGG
rnacentral:rRNA from 1 species